UGGGGAAUUUUGGACAAUGGGCGCAAGCCUGAUCCAGCCAUGCCGCGUGCGGGAAGAAGGCCUUCGGGUUGUAAACCGCUUUUGUCAGGGAAGAAACGCUCUGGGCUAAUACCCCGGGGUAAUGACGGUACCUGAAGAAUAAGCACCGGCUAACUACGUGCCAGCAGCCGCGGUAAUACGUAGGGUGCAAGCGUUAAUCGGAAUUACUGGGCGUAAAGCGUGCGCAGGCGGUUAUGCAAGACAGAUGUGAAAUCCCCGGGCUCAACCUGGGAACUGCAUUUGUGACUGUAUAGCUAGAGUACGGUAGAGGGGGAUGGAAUUCCGCGUGUAGCGGUGAAAUGCGUAGAUAUCGGGAGGAACACCUGUGGCGAAGGCGGCCACCUGGUUGGAUACUGACGCUGAGACGCGAAAGCGUGGGGAGCAAACAGGAUUAGAUACCCCAGUAGUCCCUGAGCGGGCUGGCAAGGCGCAU
rnacentral:rRNA from 1 species